CUCCGAUAAAGGCAAAUCUAGCGAAAACUAGAGACGCAAAGCUAAAGGGCCUUCCUUAGUAGAACUAAGUUGGCAGCCAGUUACCGAA
rnacentral:ncRNA from 1 species